UGUUAAAAUUUUCAUUCAUUUUUACUAUUAAAAAUUGAAAAAAUAACCAAACAAUAACACAUGACGUGCCAUGUAUAUCUCAUACUGACGUACAGAGACCAAUUUUUAUCAAAAGAAAUUGAUGAAAUUUUUAACA
rfam:Gossypium raimondii Chr03_contig_20, whole genome shotgun sequence.